UGGGGAAUAUUGCACAAUGGGGGAAACCCUGAUGCAGCGACGCCGCGUGAGCGAAGAAGGUUUUCGAAUCGUAAAGCUCUGUCCUAUGAGAAGAUAAUGACGGUAUCAUAGGAGGAAGCCCCGGCUAAAUACGUGCCAGCAGCCGCGGUAAUACGUAUGGGGCGAGCGUUGUCCGGAAUUAUUGGGCGUAAUGGGUACGUAGGCGGUCUAUUAAGUCAGGUGUGAAAGCGUGAGGCUUAACCUCAUUAAGCACUUGAAACUGAUAGACUUGAGUGAAGGAGAGGAAAGUGGAAUUCCUAGUGUAGCGGUGAAAUGCGUAGAUAUUAGGAGGAAUACCGGUGGCGAAGGCGACUUUCUGGACUUUUACUGACGCUCAGGUACGAAAGCGUGGGGAGCAAACAGG
rnacentral:rRNA from 1 species